GUAAAAUGAACUGCCUGCCGUCUCGCUGCUUGGGUUACGUUAGGCUAGCUAAGCUAUGCUUUAACGCGUGUCAAUACGAUGUGUAGAUGGCAGAAAUGUGCAGAUCCUGACAGGGACCAAACUCAAGUGGAGAGGAGAGGCAGCGAGAUCUGCAGAGGCAGUGUGGGCUGCAGAGGCAGUGAGAUCUGCAGAGACAGGGAGGCAGAGCUGGCUAGGACAACGCCUGAAAGAGGAUGUUUUAUCAACGGGCUGCUCGUUAGUUUGUACAACCCACCCCAGGCAGGAGUAAGAGCACUGCGAGCACUGCACCAACUCCUGAUGGACAGGCGAAGGGAAGGCUGGGAAGUGCUUUGUGAGGAGGGGGAGCCCCCUCGUCAGCACUCAGAGUCCAAUGCAGGCUCGCUGCUAAGCUGUGCUUUUAAAAUCCACUGAUGCACUCAGUUAAAGGUCCAAACACAACAUGUGGGCAGGAGGGAAAAUACUGCCAGACGGUGCACCACAGCCGGCUGCUGCUCCCUGCUGAUUGGCCGGCCGGCCAGAUUGACACCAGUUAAGCCUCUCGCAUUGGUUACAGUGAGACACAAAAGGCAAGGUCAUGGUGGCAUCGCCUGGUGGUAGCACGCCGUCUGAGCUGGAGACAGCAGUUCUGGGAGCAAUGACGGCAGAGGCGGAGGCGAAGAAGGAGGUGAUGACAGCAGGGGUGAAGCGUCUGCCUGAGAGGACUGGCAGGGUAUGGAUCAGAAAAGCGGGGUGGGCCACGAUCGUCUGGCGGGGGCCGUCAGAUGGGAGCAGCAGAGGGUCCAAGCCCUGGUUCCUUUUGUCUGCCAGUCGACAUGCAGGGAAUCGUCCCAGAGCAUCACAAGCACCCCCCCUGGGAGGUCCCAGGGAAAUCCUUACAGCUAUGUAGCACAUUCAAGCAUGAAUCACUGUGAAUCAGAUUCAGAAAGAGCAGAGCGAGUGAGGGGAUGAAGGUGAAUGCUGGACUGAGAGGAGCUUAUAAAGACCAACGAGCAAAUGUAAGAAAUGUUGUUUUAAAUAUGAAGGGCUUCGCAAUGCAUGAACACACACAACACUCUUCAAAGUUGUUCAUUGGAUGAGACUAAAUACAAUUGCCAAAUAAAGUGGCUAAUCUCCACAAAAUUACCCUCAUCUCUCCGUGUUAAUUGCUUUUUCAAAAGUUUUGAUAAUUCUAAGCACCUUUUAAAGGUCAGUAGUCCUGAGUGGGCACCAUAAGAAUAGGCAUUGAUCAUCUUCUGUCUUAAUGCCAGCUGAUGAGGCUGCCCCUGGUAUUACACGCAUGUGUGAAAGCGGCUCAUACGAGGUCUGCUGGUCUCCACGAUCACGGCAAACACCCACUCCCUGUACCAGGGGCGCACGUACCUUCUCCAAGGGGCAUGCUGGGAAAUAUGCAUGAGUCAGAGAAGAAGGUGUGGAGACAGAGGAGUCUUUUUAUCAAUCCAAUCUCUUCAAGCACAGUGGCGAGAAAAACAAGGAACAGAGAAGUAGAAACGUUUUCCUGUCACCCACUGACAGAAUGUAGGUGAUGUAAAGCUGAAUCAAAAUAAAAUACACAUUGUAAAUUAAUUUUGAAGAUGAAAUACUGACAAGAGACUGAUUCAGACACACUCAGUCGCAGUGUAGAAACAUUAAUCAUUACCGUUUAAUGAUUAAUGCGACUCAAACAAACAUCAUUGGAUUUAUAUAAUGAAAGCAUUCCAGAUGGACUUUGUGUUGGUUUUGUAAACAGGAGGGGUGUGCAGGAGAGAUGUGGGGUGGCGGGGGGGUUGAAAACAAUGCAGAACAAGUGAGAUCUGAGAGCCAAGGCUACCGUUGACAGAGAGAAGGAGAGGUGGCAAGGCGCAGGAAUGACUGUGUCCGAGAGAGGGGGAGUGGGUGGACGGGGUGGGUGGAAGUGAGAGGGACGGAGUGAGAGGGAGGGAGAGAGGGAGAAGGAAGGAUGGAAAGAAAGAACGAAGGAUAGAUGUUGGCAAUUUCACAGCAGCAGCUCAGUGGCGUGGAAUGGUGAUUCAUCACUAUUGUUACUCAGUGCAUGCUGUCUAUAAUUACGGAUGUGAGUGUGUGUGUGCAUGCUUGCAGGGGGUGGUAUAUUUACUGUAGAAUAUCCACUCUCUCCUUCCCCAGUACACACUGAUUUCUACAGUCAUCAUCUUUUGCUCAGAGUGUAAAGCACAUGUGCAUUUCUGCAUGCAUGAAUCAGCCAGCCUGCACACGCAUUCACACGUUCAGCUCAUCCCUUAUUCCACAUUUUACCUGAAACCAGGAGAGGAACACGUGUAGCGUCUUUUCUAAAACUGGUAACAUUCAGAAAAAAAUACCCGGGAGAAAAAUACCAGCAGUCUGAAGCUGCACCCACACACUGCCCCUGCUAAAUUCUGUUCUAUCUUUUAUUUCUGAUGUAAAUGUUUACGCCAACGACAGCAAAACAAACCUCCUCUCAUCAUAUAAUGCGUGACGUACGUAGCUGCAGAUCUGAGCUGUAAUGCUAUAAAAAUACAUUUGUGAUUAAAAAGUCUCCUCUAAGGAAUUGCGUUGAACUCGCCGCCUGUGCUACAUAAAUGACUGUUCAUGACACGGUCCUGCAAGAAAGCCGGCUUUUACCUGCCUUAAAGACUCAUAUUCUGCUGCCUGCACUGAAUUUUUAAUUCAAUUAACAACUACAGCGUCGCAUGUGUGACUCGAAUGCAAUGGUGCCUCCAUCUUUUACUCAAAGAUCAUAAACGUGCGUCCAUGAUGUAGAACGACACUCAAUGAAUUUGUAACAGGUACAAACUUUCCUGUGGCAGAACACGUAUUUUGUGGGGCCUAUUAACCUUAAACUGAUUCGGACUUCACAACACGGACUGACACAGCCAACCGUGACACACACACACAUUAUUGUAGCCCUAUAUUUAUGAAUUUUCUUAUUUCCUGUCUGAAUGCAUGUUAUAUUUGGUGAUAUUGUCAAGGGCAUAAGUUUGGUUUCAGCAUUGGUGGGGAUCAAAUCAGCCCCGAAACCCCCCCAGCCUCCAAAACACACGCUAUUACCACGGUAUCGGCGAGGAGGUGUCCGGACUGUGCGUAAACGAGUCUACGUCCUCACACAGAAGCUAGCACAAUGUGACAGAAAGCCUCAGUCACCAUUUUAACUUAGAAACAAAAAACAAAACAUACAACCAAAAAGUCACGGUAUGUUAGACUGUGUGCACUUUCUUUUGCAAUAUGCAGUUUACCAGUGUUUUUUUAAACCGGUGAGGAUACU